UGGCUUGGAGUGUACGGGGCUUGGCAAAAAAAAUGUCAAAAAAACAUUUAAGCAAACGUAGACUGUGUUGUUUGCUCCAGAUGGAAGUUCAAAGGACGGUCACUGGCACAAGCCCAGGCAAAGGGCUGGAAAAGAAAAGGCUGGGAAAAAACAAAAGCUCCAGACCUGGAUUUCUGAGCUAAUCCAGAGCCUGCCACCCAAAGCAGAAGCAGGUAUUUCAGCCAGCUGGACCUUGUGUAUUGACGAGACAGGUGACCCUUGAACAAGCACAACAAACAAAACUACAGCAGCCAACUGUUUAAAACAGUUGUAAUUAUUGGAAAAAAAGAAGAAGUGUGUGCUGUGUAGGGAACUCCUGAUGUGGAAGCUCAGCAGACACAACGGCAGCAAUGUUUAUAGCUAAGUGUGUGAUGUCAGCAGUGAGAUAUCCUAGUCAUACUGAUCAUGGUUUGAUAUGGGUGCUGUUCUCUGUUACUUAUCUGGAUGUGAUAUCUAGUUUGGAAAGAAGUGCAAAUAUUUAUGUUGCUGCGCAACCCUCGAUAUGUGAGUAAAUAAAAGCAAGCAUUAUUGUGAAAGAUGUUGUGUGGGGACAGGUUUUACAUAGAUGCAUUGGUUUUGCCUUCUUACUGUAUAUAAACUUGCCUGUAACAGCUUUUAUUUAAAAAACACAUUACGUUUUUGUGGGCAGUAAUUGCUCUAUGAUUGGAUAUCAGUGUAUUGGUAAAAAAUAGAAGGCUUAGACUUUUCUGUACAAUGUCUUUUUUCCAAUCUGUGUAGUGCACAGUUCCACUUACAUUAAUACUACUGGUUUUAGUCACUGUUUCAUCAAUAAGUAUCUGGCCUGCUAUCCUCUGAUACAUACAUAUUGGGGAUGGCUAAGGUAAUUACAUGACAUGUCUGUACACAACUCACUCAAUUUGUCAAAAAAAAUAAAUUGAGGGAAAUGCAGGUCAUCUCUUCAGAUGACAGCGAACCCGAACGAUAGUGCAUCUAUUUUCCGUCUUUUCCAUAUGCCUUUCUGUUUAGUCUGUCCAUUAUAUCCCCACAGAAGUGUCUAUUCAUCUAGUCUAUGCAAACCUUCAUAUGAACAUAUACUGUUUAAUACUGUAAUAUAAUCAAACCUUGCAGUGCACCAUUCAGAAUUAGCUGAUUUUUGGGUCUACAUUCCGAACCUAAAUACACAUAUACGCCAAGGAGCCAUAACAUUAAAAUCACCUGUCUAAUAUAGUAAGUAUAUUAUAGUAGAAUACUCUCUGACACAUGAUACCAAUGCCAUAAGGGGGUGUACUUGGUCUGCAGCAAUGUUUAAGUAGGUGAUAUGGGUCACAGUAACAUUCACGUGAUUGUCAGAACCUGAAGUUUCCUAGGAGAAGAUUUCUCAUUCCUUCACACUGCCUCUACCUGCUUGUCUUCUUCCCAUAGUGCAUCGUUGUGCCAUGUCUUUCCAGGUAAGUGAUGCACAAACACCUGGCUUUCUGAAUAAUGUCAAAGAAAAUGUGUUCAUCAGACCAGACAACCUUUUUCUAUGGCUCCAAGGUCCAGUUCUGAUGCUUACAUACCCAUUGUAGGUGCAUUUUACAAGAGACAGGGGUCAUCAUAAGCACUCUGUCAGUCCACACGUGGUCACUCUGUAUGUCCAAAUUCACAGCAAGCUGUGAUGCACUGUGUAUACUGACACUUUCAUAAGCCAGCUUAGACAGUAACUCUGUUUAGGGGAACGGACAAAUCUGGCAAGUGUUCACUCUCCUCACACAUCAUUGUACCUUUGGCACCCAUGCAAAUGUCACCAGGUUUUCUGCCUUCCUUGGACCUUUUUGGUAGGUAUUAAACACUGCAUACCAGGAACAGCCUACGAGACCUAAAAAAAAUCUCCCAAUUUUUUCCUGCUUUAAAAACAUCAACUUUCAGAUCUGUCUGUUCACUUGCUGCCUAAUAUGUCCCACCCUUUACACACACACACACACACACACACACACACACACACACACACACACACAC